AUCCUUUUGCAGUUCAUAAACAUGAUGAUUGGAUUUUCACACUGAUGUGUGAGAUGUGCCUCCCUCAAACCUUAUUACAAAGCAGGCACAUUACCCGUCUGAUG
ensembl:snoRNA